ACGGGAGGCAGCAGUAAGGAAUCUUGCACAAUGGGGGAAACCCUGAUGCAGCAACGCCGCGUGAGUGAAGAAGGUCUUCGGAUUGUAAAACUCUGAUCUUGGGGAAGAAGAAAGUGACGGUACCCAAGGAGAAAGCCCCGGCUAACUACGUGCCAGCAGCCGCGGUAAUACGUAGGGGGCAAGCGUUAUCCGGAAUUAUUGGGCGUAAAGAGUGCGUAGGUGGUUACCUAAGCGGAAGGUUUAAACUUGAGGCUUAACCUCAUGGUGCCUUUCGAACUGGGCUACUUGAGUGCAGGAGGGGAAAGCGGAAUUCCUAGUGUAGCGGUGAAAUGCGUAGAUAUUAGGAAGAACACCAGAGGCGAAGGCGGCUUUCUGGACUGUAACUGACACUGAGGCACGAAAGCGUGGGGAGCAAACAGGAUUAGAUACCCUGGUA
rnacentral:rRNA from 1 species